rnacentral:lncRNA from 1 species
GGAAAAAUAAUAGAAAUUCUGAACCGCCCUAACGAGACGGAAGAAAGUGACGAACAGACAGGCCGUGGGUGUGAAACCCCAGCUUCGGCAGAUGGAUUCGAAACAACUCAUGAACAGAAUAGAAUUUGGGGAUAACAUCCGGGGGGUUACUCCGAAGUAUUGGAAAACCUCGACAAAAAAAGGAGUAAAAGGGAAAGGUAAACCGAAAUCCCUCUGUUUGAGAAAAAAGACUAUACAACGCCCCCUCUGGGGAUCCAUCAAACCAGGGGGGGAGGGUUUGGAAGAACUAUCCUUUCAUUUUGGAAAGGAGCUCGAAUAAGAUAAAGCGGAGUAUCUAAAUACCUCCGAGAAAUAUGUUUAUUUAUGGUAGAAGAAGUGAUAUGCGACCUAAGAUUAGCGACAUCCGGGAGCUUUGGACCCUCCAUGGAAGAACAAAGAAGCGUACCUGAAAACGCAAUAGGGUGGAAAAAGCAGAAGAAGUUGCAGGAAAACAGAGAGCAGAAGAGAGCGAGUUUCUUCAGAAGACAGGGAGAAUUCGAAGUGAAAGGCAAUAAUGAGAUGAAACGUUGUUCUAAGCAGUUUUGUCUUGGAGCGGCGCGAUCAUUAAUUGCUCUCGAAGUUUACCCUCUCAACGGUUAGAUAAUAACCGGCGAGAAGGUAAAGGGGCAAGGAGAUGACCGCUGGGCUUCUCCACCCCUACAAAGGGCCAGGCCCACGACAAUAGCCCAUCAGCCGAAGGCCCACACGCUAUCUACAUAAGAUAAACCCAAAUUGUCAAAACCUUGAGACCGAGCUCCAAUUGAAU